rnacentral:rRNA from 1 species
GAUGAACGCUGGCGGCGUGCCUAAUACAUGCAAGUCGAGCGAACGGACGAGAAGCUUGCUUUUCUGAUGUUAGCGGCGGACGGGUGAGUAACACGUGGAUAACCUACCUAUAAGACUGGGAUAACUUCGGGAAACCGGAGCUAAGACCGGAUAAUAUUUUGAACCGCAUGGUUCAAAAGUGAAAGACGGUCUUUCUGUCACUUAUAGAUGGAUCCGCGCUGCAUUAGCUAGUUGGUAAGGUAACGGCUUACCAAGGCAACGAUGCAUAGCCGACCUGAGAGGGUGAUCGGCCACACUGGAACUGAGACACGGUCCAGACUCCUACGGGAGGCAGCAGUAGGGAAUCUUCCGCAAUAGGCGAAAGCCUGACGGAGCAACGCCGCGUGAGUGAUGAAGGUCUUCGGAUCGUAAAACUCUGUUAUUAGGGAAGAACAUAUGUGUAAGUAACUGUGCACAUCUUGACGGUACCUAAUCAGAAAGCCACGGCUAACUACGUG